rnacentral:lncRNA from 1 species
GUGCUUCUUUGUUAAACAUUUAUUUAGUUUAUCAUUGUGAUUAAGAUACUUAUGGUCAUUGUAUAUUAUGUCAUUAAUGUUUAUGAUAUUCUCGUAUUCAUGUCUUUCAUUAUUGUGCUAUUGUAAAACUUGUUUGUUGCUUGUCUUUCAUUUUUGCUAUGUGCUUUGCCUAUGCCUUUUUGUGUUUCUUUGUUACAUAUAUUACGUGGCUCUGUACAUCCCUUCAUUGUGUUAUUGUAUUAUGGUAAAUUUGUGUAUUCUUGUCUGUAAUUUGUGAUGACUUGGUCUAUAUGCCUUGUGUGCUCUUUUUACAUAUUUGUUUUUUUUCAGUAAUUCGGAUUGUAACACAUUGUUGACUGCUGUUUUUUGGUUUUACACUUUUACCUAUUAUGUCUAUUUGUUUUGUUCACGCAUCGUUGUCAAUAGAAUGGAAUUUUAUGGGACUGUCAUGCAAGUG